CCUGGCUCAGGACGAACGCUGGCGGCGUGCCUAAUACAUGCAAGUCGAGCGGAUUGUUCCUUCGGGAACAGUUAGCGGCGGACGGGUGAGUAACACGUAGGCAACCUGCCUGUAAGACUGGGAUAACUAUCGGAAACGAUAGCUAAGACCGGAUAGCUGGUUUUCUCGCAUGAGAAGAUCAUGAAACACGGAGCAAUCUGUGGCUUAUAGAUGGGCCUGCGGCGCAUUAGCUAGUUGGUGAGGUAAUGGCUCACCAAGGCGACGAUGCGUAGCCGACCUGAGAGGGUGAUCGGCCACACUGGGACUGAGACACGGCCCAGACUCCUACGGGAGGCAGCAGUAGGGAAUCUUCCGCAAUGGACGCAAGUCUGACGGAGCAACGCCGCGUGAGUGAUGAAGGUUUUCGGAUCGUAAAGCUCUGUUGCCAGGGAAGAACACCUAGGAGAGUAACUGCUCUUAGGUUGACGGUACCUGAGAAGAAAGCCCCGGCUAACUACGUGCCAGCAGCCGCGGUAAUACGUAGGGGGCAAGCGUUGUCCGGAAUUAUUGGGCGUAAAGCGCGCGCAGGCGGUCAUUUAAGUUUGGUGUUUAAGCCCGGGGCUCAACCCCGGAUCGCACUGAAAACUGGGUGACUUGAGUGCGGGAGAGGAAAGUGGAAUUCCACGUGUAGCGGUGAAAUGCGUAGAGAUGUGGAGGAACACCAGUGGCGAAGG
rnacentral:rRNA from 1 species